rnacentral:sRNA from 1 species
ACUGGCUGAGCUCAGCUCUCUGGGCCUUUCUUCAGCACUGUGGGUCGUAAAAGCUGCCUUUUCUCUGAAAACUGCGUGCGUCCUCUGGGUUCCCAGCGUUGGUGGGAUGGAGCUGUGGCGUCCAGGCUGUGAGGUCUCAUGGGGUCCUGCAGCAGCCAGAGCGUGCAGAAGACGAGGAAGGGAAGAAAGGUGGUGCUACAGAAUAUUUUAGAAACAGAAAAUGAAUAUUCUAAAGAACUUCAGACUGUGCUUUCAACCUACCUACGGCCAUUGCAGACCAGUGAGAAGUUAAGUUCAGCAAACAUUUCAUAUUUAAUGGGAAAUCUAGAAGAAAUAUGUUCUUUCCAGCAAAUGCUCGUACAGUCUUUAGAAGAAUGCACCAAGUUGCCCGAAGCUCAGCAGAGAGUCGGAGGCUGCUUUUUAAACCUGAUGCCACAGAUGAAAACCCUGUACCUCACGUAUUGUGCCAAUCACCCUUCUGCAGUGAAUGUCCUUACGGAACACAGUGAGGAGUUGGGGGAGUUCAUGGAGACCAAAGGUGCCAGCAGCCCUGGGAUUCUCGUGCUGACCACAGGCCUGAGCAAGCCCUUCAUGCGCCUGGAUAAAUACCCUACGCUGCUCAAAGAGCUCGAGAGACACAUGGAGGAUUAUCAUACAGACAGACAAGAUAUUCAAAAAUCUAUGGCUGCCUUCAAAAACCUUUCAGCCCAAUGUCAAGAAGUCCGGAAAAGGAAAGAGCUUGAGCUGCAGAUCCUGACGGAAGCCAUCCGGAACUGGGAGGGCGAUGACAUUAAAACUCUGGGCAAUGUCACUUACAUGUCCCAGGUCCUGAUUCAGUGUGCUGGAAGUGAGGUACUGCUGCCCACGUGCACGCACCAGGAUUUCUGUCCCACUCUUAGGAGCUUGUAGCAGAAGAUUUUAAAGGCAUCUCAAGCAAUGAAAAUCAUCUUAAUAGAAGCUCUAUCUUAUAAUUUGUGAGCUACUUUUUAUUCUUGACACAGGAGAGAGGCUUAUGGCAUGUUAGAGAGGCUUAGAGCUGAGUGUAGACUUGAUCAGUUUGAUCCAGCUGAAGUCAGUGUGGCCCGAAGCCCACGUGAACUGAAAGAUAGUGUGCAGAAAGACUUGCAGGAGUCCUGUGCACACAUCUGCACGGAGCUGUAUGUGCUUAUCUGGCCAGCAACUUUGUACCAAGGCUCACU